GUAGAGUGUGGGCAAGCGGACGCGGUAGUGAAGGGGUGUGAAGGGGUGUUCGGAUGCAUUGGGCGGAAAGGGUGCGUAGGGUGCGCGGUAAGUCGGUGGUGAAAUCGCGGGGCUUAACUCCGAAACUGCAUUCGAUACUGCCGUGCUUGAGGACUGGAGAGGAGACUGGAAUUUACGGUGUAGCGGUGAAAUGCGUAGAUAUCGUAAGGAAGACCAGUGGCGAAGGCGGGUCUCUGGACAGUUCCUGACGCUGAGGCACGAAGGUCAGGGGAGCAAACGGGAUUAGAGACCCUGGUAGUC
rnacentral:rRNA from 1 species